rnacentral:rRNA from 1 species
GACGAACGCUGGCGGCGUGCUUAACACAUGCAAGUCGAGCGGAAAGGCCCUUUCGGGGGUACUCGAGCGGCGAACGGGUGAGUAACACGUGAGUAAUCUGCCCUUGGCUUUGGGAUAACUACCGGAAACGGUGGCUAAUACCGGAUAUGACCAUGCUCGGCAUCGGGUGUGGUGGAAAGUUUUUUCGGCCAGGGAUGUGCUCGCGGCCUAUCAGCUUGUUGGUGGGGUAAUGGCCUACCAAGGCUUCGACGGGUAGCCGGCCUGAGAGGGUGACCGGCCACACUGGGACUGAGACACGGCCCAGACUCCUACGGGAGGCAGCAGUGGGGAAUAUUGGACAAUGGGCGGAAGCCUGAUCCAGCAACGCCGCGUGAGGGAUGACGGCCUCGG